CAGCAGACACAUUCCAGCAAAUCAGCAGCAGACCCUCCCUCCCAGAUCCUCCCACCUCCUGGACAGCAUCCAUUUUGAAGCUGCAUUCUUAGUGAGCUGUCCAGGAGGUGGGAGGGUCUGGGAGGGAGGGUCUGCUGCUGAUUGGCUGGAAUGUGUCUGCUG
rnacentral:miRNA from 1 species